rnacentral:rRNA from 1 species
GUAGGUGACUGCGGAGGACAUUAGUGAUUAUAAUUCAAAGGGGUUGUCGCUGGCCUUGUGGCAUGUGCACGCUCUUUUGUUUUUCAUAACUCUCUCUCACCUGUGCACCUAAUGUAGGAUGCCUCUCUUUCGGGAGGGGGGACCUAUGUCUUCAUAUACCUCUUUGUGUAGAAAGUCUUUGAAUGUUUUACUAUCAAAGAGUCGUGACUUGUAGGAGACGCGGGUCUUUGAGAUAAAAGUUAAUUACAACUUUCAGCAAUGGAUCUCUUGGCUCUCGCAUCGAUGAAGAACGCAGCGAAAAGCGAUAUGUAAUGUGAAUUGCAGAUCUACAGUGAAUCAUCGAAUCUUUGAACGCACCUUGCGCUCCUCAGUGUUCUGAGGAGCAUGCCUGUUUGAGUGUCAGUAAAUUCUCAACCCCUCUCGAUUUGCUUCGAGGGGGAGCUUGGAUAGUGGGGGUUGCCGGAGACUAGGAUUUGUCCUAGACUUGGGCUCUCCUGAAAUGCAUUGGCUUGCAGUUGACUUUCGACUUUGCGCGACAAGGCUUUCGGCGUGAUAAUGAUCGCCGUGUGCUGAAGUGCAUGAAUGAAAAAGGUCCUGUGCCUCUAAUAUGUCGACUUAGUAUCUCUCCGGAGAGAAACUGUCUUCUUUUCAAUUGACUUUUGACCUCAAAUCAGGUAGGACUACCCGCUGAACUUAAGCAUAUCAUAAAGCCGGAGGAA